CCUGACGAGCGGUGCGGUAGUGCUUCAUCUUUCGGCACGAUCUUUUCUCUCCGAUCAAUCUUUGGAUUCCAUUGGGUCGAUUUUUAUUCUUCCGAUACUUCAAAAGUUGUGAGAUUUCUAUUUGCCUGAGACCGAGGCAAGAUCCACAGUCCUGCAUGCCCACUAAAAUCAGCUUGAUUCAUGGAUUCAUGCAUCUUUCUCGAUUUCAUUGCUCUGUUUGUGUUAAAAGUAACAUUUUGUAUGAUCUUUAUGCUCGGACCCUUCAGAUAACAGCAAUGAUUAACCUUUGAGUCUCAGCUAUUUGGGAUCUAUUUUUGGUUGAUACACAGGUUUAAUAACAACAUUAAUAUAAAAUCUUAAAUUCUGUCCCAACAAGAGCUUGUGUUCAUAAUAAUGAUAUUCAUUUGUUUAUCCUAAUAAGAUUUUAGGCAUUGUUGAUUUGACUUAGCCGUUCAUUGACACCACUAAGCAAGAUUUGUGUAAUGCCACUAAUUGAUGAACAAAUUACUCGAAGCUAUGGAGUAAUCUCCACAUGAAAGCUCUGUCAUAGUUACUCUGAUAGUGUCUUGUUCUUUCUGCUCUGUUGUUCAGGAAAUAUAUCUGGAAUUUUAGCUGUUGUUUUGUUCAUACUUCCUUUUAGGUCAUCUAUUCAUACUCCAGAUAACAACAAUGAGUAACCCCUGAGUCUCAAUUAUUGGAAUGUAUUUUUGCUUGCUACAUAAUCACUGCAUUAAUAUAAAAUCAUAAUUUUGUCUCAACAAGAGGUUGUACUCAUAAUAGUGAUUUUCAUUUAUUUUUUCUAGGCAUUGUUGAUUUGGUUUAGCCUUUCAUUGUCACUUGGAACCUGAGAUUGCACAGUAGGCAAGAUUUGUGUGAUGACACUAAUUGAUGAAUAAUUACUCAAAGCUAUGGAUCAAUCUCCACAUGAAAGCUCUUUGUCAUAGUUACUCUGAUAGUGUCUUAUCUCUUCUGCUCUGUUGCUCAGGAAAUCUGUUUGGAAUUUUAACUUUUGUUUUGUUCAUGCUCCUUUUUAGGUUAUCUGUUCUUUUUGAUGAGAUAGAUCAAGCUAGUGAUUCAUUUGUCAUCUUUACAGCAGAUCAGUUCCAUGUACUGAUACUGCAUCUGAGGAUGACAACAGUUACUACAACCCUUUUCCAUGCUUCCAUUAGUAAUAGAAUAAAUGGCAUUCUAUUGCUUGCUGUGUUAAGGGCUUACAUUUUUACAACAUUUCUUUUGUUCUUGUACACAGAAGCCCCAAAACUCUAAAUCCAAUGCAGGGGCUUCUUGUUCAUUUACCAAGUAAGAGGAAGGUUGCCUCAGCCAGGACAUGAGUUUUCUUCACCAAUCCCACAGUUCGUAUGCACCACUCAGGUUUUUACCGCAGAAGGUUAUCUCAUUAGGAGUAGCAUCAAGGGACAAGCAAGAUCAAGAACAUCAAAUAAUUUAGCAAUACAUAAACCAAAAAGAAGCCUUUAUCUAGGUUGCAUCACUUUCUGUGGCAGUGGUGGUAAUUGAAUUUUGCCGUGCCUGAUGGCAGGAAGCUCUUGGCUUCACAAAAGCAUGUAACUUUGUAUGUCUCAUGGUGCUUUGUGUUUAUAUGGAGUAACUAAUCAUCUAUGCACUUGUCUACA